GAUGAAGAACGUAGCGAAAUGCGAUACUUGGUGUGAAUUGCAGAAUUCAGUGAAUCAUCGAAUCUUUGAACGCACAUUGCGCCCCUUGGUAUUCCAUGGGGCAUGCCUGUUCGAGCGUCAUUUGUACCCUCAAGCUUUGCUUGGUGUUGGGUGUUUGUCCUCUCCUUUGCGUUUGGACUCGCCUUAAAGCAAUUGGCAGCCAGUGUUUUGGUAUUGAAGCGCAGCACAAUUUGCGAUUCUAACCGACUACACUUGCGUCCAUAAGCCUUUUUUAACUUUUGACCUCGGAUCAGGUAGGGAUACCCGCUGAACUUAAGCAUAUCAAUAAGCGGAGGA
rnacentral:misc_RNA from 1 species